UAGGGAAUCUUCCGCAAUGGACGCAAGUCUGACGGAGCAACGCCGCGUGAGUGAAGAAGGAUUUCGGUUCGUAAAACUCUGUUGUUAGAGAAGAACAGCGCAUAGAGUAACUGUUAUGCGUGUGACGGUAUCUAACCAGAAAGCCACGGCUAACUACGUGCCAGCAGCCGCGGUAAUACGUAGGUGGCAAGCGUUGUCCGGAUUUAUUGGGCGUAAAGCGAGCGCAGGCGGUCAAUUAAGUCUGAAGUGAAAGGCAGUGGCUCAACCAUUGUAGGCUUUGGAAACUGUUUAACUUGAGUGCAGAAGGGGAGAGUGGAAUUCCAUGUGUAGCGGUGAAAUGCGUAGAUAUAUGGAGGAACACCGGUGGCGAAAGCGGCUCUCUGGUCUGUAACUGACGCUGAGGCUCGAAAGCGUGGGUAGCAAACAGG
rnacentral:rRNA from 1 species